rnacentral:rRNA from 1 species
GACGAACGCUGGCGGCGUGCUUAACACAUGCAAGUCGAACGAAGUGGCGAACGGGUGCGUAAUACGUGGGUAACAUGCCCUCCUUUUUGGGAUAAGCCUUGGCAACGGGGUCUAAUACCGCAUAAAGGGGGCUGGGCUCGCGGCAUCUCAGCUUGUUGGUGGGGUGAUGGCAUACCAAGGCGGGGACGGGUAGCCGGCCUGAGAGGGUGACCGGCCACAUUGGGAUUGAGAUACGGCCCAGACGCCAAGGGGAGGCAGCAGUGGGGGAUAUUGCAAAAUGGGCGAAAGCCUGAUGCAGAGACGCGGCGUGGGGGAUGAAGGCUUUCGGGUUGUAAAGUACUUUCAGUCGGGAGGCGUUACCGACAGAAGAAGCACCGGCUAACUCCGUGCCAGCCGCCGCGGUAAUUC